rnacentral:tRNA from 1 species
AAUUGGGGUUGUAGCUCAGCUGGUAGAGCGUUAGACUGAAGAUCUAAAGGUCAUUAGUUCAAAACUAAUCGAUCCCAU